AUUGAACGCUGGCGGCAGGCCUAACACAUGCAAGUCGAGCGAGCGGCGGACGGGUGAGUAAUGUAUGGGGACUGCCCGAUAGAGGGGGCUAACUACUGUAAACGGUGGCUAAUACCGCAUACAGUCGCAUAACCCAUAUGGGAUUAGCUAGUAGGUAAGGUAAAGGCUUACCUUGGCGACGAUCCCUAGCUGGUCUGAGAGGAUGAUCAGCCACACUGGUACUGAGACACGGCCCAGACUCCUACGGAGGCAGCAGUGGGGAAUAUUGCACAAUGGGCGCAAGCCUGAUGCAGCCAUGCCGCGUGUAUGAAGAAGGCCUUAGGGUUGUAAAGUACUUUCAGUCGGGAGGCGUUACCUACAGAAGAAGCGCCGGCUAACUACGUGCCAGCAGCCGCGGUAAUUC
rnacentral:rRNA from 1 species